AUAGUACUCCCUCCGAUCCAUAUUAAUUGUCUCAAAUUUGUCAAAAUAUGGAUGUAUCUAUGCAUAAAAAGCGUAUGGAUACAUAUAAUAUUUCGACAAUUAAUAUGGAUCGGAGGGAGUAGCAA
rfam:Brachypodium distachyon strain Bd21 chromosome 1, whole genome shotgun sequence.